GAUGAACGCUGGCGGCGUGCCUAACACAUGCAAGUCGAGCGAACAGACGUGGAGCUUGCUCCUCUGACGUUAGCGACGGAUGGGUGCGUAACACGUGGAUAACCUACCUAUCAGACUGGGAUAACUACGGGAAACCGGACCUAAUACCGGAUAAUAUAAUCAACCGCAUGGUUCAAUAGUGAAAGACGGUUUUGCUGGCACUUCUAGAUCGAUCCGGGCCGCAUUAGCGAGUUGGUAAGGUAACGGCUUACCACGGCGAGGAUGCGUAGCCGACCAGAGAGAGUGAUCGGACACACUGGAAGAGAGACACGGUCCAGACUCCUACGGGGGGAAGGCGUAGAGACUCUUGCGAGAUGGGAGAGGGGCUGAUGGAGCAACGCGGGGUAAGUUAUGAAGGUCUUCGGAUGGUGAAGCACUGUUAUUAGGGGAGAUGAAAUGUGUAUGUAACAGUGCACGUAAUGACGGUACCUGGUGAAAAAGCCACGGCUAACUCCGUG
rnacentral:rRNA from 1 species